UGCAUAAUAACUACUACGCAGGAACCGGCGUGUUGGCAUAGCGAGGAUGAACAACCAGAUACCCGAUAGCGAUGAGAGCUGUUCAUGGCACCGACACAGAGGACAGGUUGCAGUACAAGAUAGGAGCAUACAUCCUGCAAGCCCGGGCAAGCCAUAAUGAGUGGUUUCAAAUACAGCAACUGUACCACAACAGUGCAGCGCAGGAGAUCCUAUCAUCAGUGCCGCGUCGA